UAAUAAUAAUAAUAAUAAUGCUCUUUACCCAUACAUUUGUUUUUUGUUUUCAGCUGUGACUGUUUCAUAUAGUUUUUCUUCUCUUUGCAGAAUAACAUUCUUGGAAAAAGCAGAAGCCAUCACUGGUCCAUUCUUGGAGAAAGGGAAUCUCUGGACUUUCUUUAUGCUGUGCAGUGAGCUGGUCAGUGAUGUAAUGUUCCUGGUGUGCAAGUUUGCUCCACAAAAGAAAGUGGUCCAGGAAAUAUAUGAAAAUAAGGAUGUUCAUGAUUCAAUAUCCAAAACUAAAGCCUUCAGGAAGACAUUGCAAAUAUUUCUGGAGACUUUGAGAAGAUAUCUGGCAGGGCGACCUAGGGCCUGGUUUAAAGGGAGCACGUUCAAACUACAGCAGUUUAAUGAUACAUCUACCUUUUGCUGCGAAAACUUCCUGUGUAUUGUACAUGCAUUUAAUUCACUGGAUUUGUUCGUAAUUGUAUAAAAAAGGAAAGAAGUCAUAAUUAUACUUGAUUAUUUUCAAUCAACAUUUAAUUUUGUUCUUACACAAACAAUCUGUACAACAGACAUUGAAUGAAACAACA